rnacentral:rRNA from 1 species
CAGUAGCCGCGGGAAUACGGAGGGAGCUAGCGUUGUUCGGAAUUACUGGGCGUAAAGCGCACGUAGGCGGCUUUGUAAGUCAGAGGUGAAAGCCCGGGGCUCAACCCCGGAACUGCCUUUGAAACUAGGUGACUAGAAUCUUGGAGAGGUCAGUGGAAUUCCGAGUGUAGAGGUGAAAUUCGUAGAUAUUCGGAAGAACACCAGUGGCGAAGGCGACUGACUGGACAAGUAUUGACGCUGAGGUGCGAAAGCGUGGGGAGCAAACAGGAUUAGAUACCCCGGUAGUCCCUGUCUCUUAUAC